rnacentral:rRNA from 1 species
GAUGAACGCUGGCGGCGUGCCUAAUACAUGCAAGUCGAGCGGACCAAAGAGAGCUUGCCCUCUGAGGUUAGCGGCGGACGGGUGAGUAACACGUGGGUAACCUGCCUGUAAGACGGGGAUAACUUCGGGAAACCGAAGCUAAUACCGGAUGAUAAAGAGAAACGCCUGUUUCUUUUUUGAAAGUCGGCCUUGUGCUGACGCUGACAGAUGGGCCCGCGGCGCAUUAGCUAGUUGGUGAGGUAACGGCUCACCAAGGCGACGAUGCGUAGCCGACCUGAGAGGGUGAUCGGCCACACUGGGACUGAGACACGGCCCAGACUCCUACGGGAGGCAGCAGUAGGGAAUCUUCGGCAAUGGACGAAAGUCUGACCGAGCAACGCCGCGUGAGCGAUGAAGGCCUUCGGGUCGUAAAGCUCUGUUGUCAGAGAAGAACAAGUACCGGAGUGACUGCCGGUACCUUGACGGUACCUGACCAGAAAGCCACGGCUAACUACGUGCCAGCCGCCGCAGUAA